rnacentral:rRNA from 1 species
GUGGGGAAUAUUGGACAAUGGGGGGAACCCUGAUCCAGCCAUGCCGCGUGUGUGAAGAAGGCCUUUUGGUUGUAAAGCACUUUAAGCGAGGAGGAGGCUACCGAGAUUAAUACUCUUGGAUAGUGGACGUUACUCGCAGAAUAAGCACCGGCUAACUCUGUGCCAGCAGCCGCGGUAAUACAGAGGGUGCGAGCGUUAAUCGGAUUUACUGGGCGUAAAGCGUGCGUAGGCGGCUUUUUAAGUCGGAUGUGAAAUCCCUGAGCUUAACUUAGGAAUUGCAUUCGAUACUGGAAAGCUAGAGUAUGGGAGAGGAUGGUAGAAUUCCAGGUGUAGCGGUGAAAUGCGUAGAGAUCUGGAGGAAUACCGAUGGCGAAGGCAGCCAUCUGGCCUAAUACUGACGCUGAGGUACGAAAGCAUGGGGAGCAAACAGGAUUAGAAACCCCGGUAGUCC